AUCGGCUAGACUUUGUAAACUUGUACUCUAAUUGAUGUUAGUCUGGGGUUUUGGUAUUUAUCUUGUUUUUUUGGGGUGAAAUCGGGAAUUUUUUGUAUUUGUACCCUAGUCUUUAAGAUUUGGUGAAUGAACCAGAUUAGUACCUGGUUAAACAAAAAUUAAAAGAGCAGGAGUAAAGUUGUAUUUAAACUGUAAGAAUAUUGGCAGGUUUUUAAAUUAUCUUUGGAGGUUGAGUAGUAAUUGAGAGCCCUCAUUAACAACUUUUACUGUAGGCGCAUGUAUGAUCGUUUAUUUUAUUCUUAAGGAUUGUAAUUUUAGAUAUUUGUUUGCUGUAAAAAUAGAUAGAUAUCUGGUAUAUGUAGAAGAUUUAAUUUGACCUACAAUUUGUUAUCUUGUGGAUACUUUCUGUAGUGGAAGGUUGAAAAUGUAAAAGACAGUAAGAUUUUUUUUAUAUAAAUCUGAAGUUUAUUUAGAAACGGUACAAAACAUC
rnacentral:rRNA from 1 species